UGAGACAAUCGAGAUCCCUGU
rnacentral:misc_RNA from 1 species